rnacentral:lncRNA from 1 species
CCCGCCGCCCCCCGCGCCCCGGCCGCCGCAGACGGCCCAGGGCCGCCGGCGCCGCCGCCCCUGAACCCCUUCUUCCCCGGCGCGUUCGACAUUCUUCUUUCUUUUUUACUUCCUUCCCUAGCUGCGCUAUAGCUAGCCUCUAGCUCUCGCACAGCGUUCGCCCAUGGCGACGGAGAGCGAGCUGGUCCGCGAACCAGGUGUUGAGGGAGGAGGAGGUGAGGGGGGCUCGG